CCCACCUCCUGCUGUCCCGAACUGCUUCUGCUGGGCAGCUUAGGACAUUGUUCAAAGGUUUAUCUCCUAGGCCCAGGGUCUCAAUCCUGGUUCUGUCAGGUGACCCCAGGCUGGCGUCUUACCUACUCAGCUUCUGCUCCCCAAUCUCGAAUGAAUGAAUGAAUGAAUGAAUGAAUGAAUGAAUGCUUUCCCUUGGUUGGGAAAGCCCUGCAGGCUAGAAGACCAGAACUAGGACCAGGAGCAGGAGCAGGACCAGGAGCAGAAGCAGGAGCAGGAGCAGGACCAGGACCAGGAGCAGGAGCAGGAGCAGGAGCAGGAUCAGGAUCAGGAGCAGGAGCAGGAGCAGGAGCAGGAGCAGGAACAGGAAUAGGAGCAGGAACAGGAACAGGAGCAGGAGCAGGAGCAGGAACAGGACCAGGACCAGAAGCAGAAGCAGGAGCAGGAGCAGGACCAGGACCAGGAGCAGGAGCAGGAACAGGAAUAGGAGCAGGAACAGGAACAGGAGCAGGAGCAGGAGCAGGAACAGGACCAGGACCAGAAGCAGAAGCAGGAACAGGACCAGGACCAGGGCCAAGAGCAGAAGCAGGAACAGGACCAGGAGCAGAAGCAGGAACAGGACCAGGAGCAGAAGCAGGAACAGGACCAGGAGCAGGAGGAGCAGGACCAGGAGCAGGAGCAGGAACAGGAGCAGAACCAGGAGCAGAAGCAGGAGCAGGAGCAGGAGCAGAAGCAGGACCAGGACCAGGACCAGGACCAGGAGCAGGAGCAGGAGCAGGAACAGGAGCAGAAGCAGGACCAGGACCAGGGCCAGGAGCAGGAGCAGGAGCAGGAACAGGAUCAGGAUCAGGAGCAGGACCAGGACCAGAAGCAGGAGCAGGAGCAGGAGCAGGAGCAGGAGCAGGAACAGGAGCAGGAGCAGGAGCAGGACCAGGACCAGGGCCAGGAGCAGAAGCAGGAACAGGACCAGGAGCAGAAGCAGGAACAGGACCAGGAGCGGUAGCAAGAACAGUAACAGGAGCAGGAACAGGAGCAGGAGCAGGAGCAGGAGCAGGGAGAGAUUAUGGGGAGCAGGGGGUGCUGCAGGGCCAGGCUGCAGGGCCAGGCUGCAGGCCCCCGCAGCACAGACCUGACUCCAGGAGAGAGC
rnacentral:lncRNA from 1 species